rnacentral:tRNA from 1 species
GAUCGCGUAGCUCAGUUGGCAGAGCAUUGGGCUAGCAUUCCAAAGGUCGUAGGUUCGAUUCCCACCGUGGCCG